AGGGAUUGCUCGUAUCCA
rnacentral:snRNA from 1 species